UCUCAAGCCUGUGGAAGAACUCUUUUCUGA
rnacentral:piRNA from 1 species